rnacentral:rRNA from 1 species
GACAGAGGGUGCAAACGUUGUUCGGAAUUACUGGGCGUAAAGCGCGUGUAGGCGGCUGCGCAAGUCGGAUGUGAAAUCCCAUGGCUCAACCAUGGAAGUGCACCCGAAACUGCGUAGCUAGAGUCUCGGAGAGGAAGGUGGAAUGCUUGGUGUAGAGGUGAAAUUCGUAGAUAUCGAGAGGAACACCUGCGGCGAAGGCGGGUUGCUGGGCUGACACUGACGCUGAUGUGCGAAAGCUAGGGGAGCGAACGGG